rnacentral:lncRNA from 1 species
GGGUGGGGGAGAGAGGGAGGGAGGAAGGGUGGGGGAGAGAGGUUGAGAGAGCGGAAGAGAGGGCUUUCAAGCCCCCAUCCCCGUUCCCACGAAAAAAGGGCGCAGUCAUGCCGGUCCACAAGCGUUCAGGACAAUUCUACCUUCCAUGCCCUUAUCUUUACAUGAUGCGCACUCAUUGACGCAAGUGGGACUGAUAGGAUCAGGAUCUAAUUGUAUGGGGUUACAGCGCAUGUAGAAGCAAAACGAUAACCUAAUUUGCAUUGUGAAAGCAUUAGGUCAAGGAUGCAUGUGAAUAGGAGAAAAUAAGAGUGCUUAAUACGGUUAGGAAUUAUGGUAUGCUGUACCAGUCUGUACCGGACGUACCGUACCCGUAUCGAUGGGUACCGAUAUCCGUACGCCAAUGUCGGUACGCCUGGCGUACCGCAUACUGUGCCGUACCGACACUCGGUACGCCUAUACUAGUGCGGCACCGGUAUGGGGUUCGGUACC